CUGGAAUGGUUCCUGACUAAAAUCUAUAUGGCCUCUGGAUUGGACUGCGGCUGAUCAGGCUGUUGGUGAGGUAAUGGCCCACCAAACCUGUAACCGGUACGGGCUCUGAGAGGAGGAGCCCGGAGAUGGGCACUGAGACAAGGGCCCAGGCCCUAUGGGGCGCAGCAGGCGCGAAACCUCUGCAAUAGGCGAAAGCCUGACAGGGUUACUCUGAGUGACUUUCGCUAAGAAAGUCUUUUGGCACCUCUAAAAAGGGUGCAGAAUAAGGGGUGGGCAAGUCUGGUGUCAGCCGCCGCGGUAAUACCAGCACCCCGAGUGGUCGGGACGAUUAUUGGGCCUAAAGCAUCCGUAGCCGGUUCUGCAAGUCUUCCGUUAAAUCCAGCCGCUCAACGGAUGGGCCGCGGAGGAUACUACAGGACUAGGAGGCGGGAGAGGCAAGCGGUACUCAGUGGUAGGGGUAAAAUCCUUUGAUCCAUUGAAGACCACCAGUGGCGAAGGCGGCUUGCCAGAACGCGCUCGACGGUGAGGGAUGAAAGCUGGGGGAGCAAACCGGAUUAGAUACCCGGGUAGUCCCAGCUGUAAACGAUGCAGACUCGGUGAUGGGCUAGCCUUGUGCCAGCCCAGUGCCGCAGGGAAGCCGUUAAGUUAGCCGCCUGGGGAGUACGGUCGCAAGACUGAAACUUAAAGGAAUUGGCGGGGGAGCAUCACAAGGGGUGAAGCCUGCGGUUCAAUUGGACUCAACGCCGGU
rnacentral:rRNA from 1 species